AGACAUCUGUUCCUCUGAUAGCAUCGUUCAUUGUCUAUCAGAUUUCAGAAUGUCUUAGAUCAAACAUGAGCUGCUUCACCCGGAAUUGUAAACAAAAAACUUACAUUGUUCGGUUUUGCGGGUUCAUACAGUU